rnacentral:snoRNA from 1 species
UGUGAUGAGACAAUAAUAUGCUGUGAGACGUACUCCCUUAUGAUUGUAGGUUCUGGCGACGAUGCCAUGGCCCAAUUGAUUAUAGACGGCAUGCUGA